GGUGAACAAGAGGUUGUCUAGGUUUCACUAGAUAGUACACCGACCACACGAGUUAGGUCGUAUAGCCUUGCGAGGGGGAGGAGGAAAAGGCAUGACCCCGAGGUCGGUAGGAGGAACCCCCUAAGCUUGUGAGCAAGCGAGCUACUGAACAGGUCAGGAAGCCCCGAGCGUUUAAGGACAGCUUGGGAAAGAGAAACAGUAAGGCAGUAGGUACGCAAAAAGAACCGCAGGGGUGUUAUUUAUUGAAUAUAAAAAGGGAAAUAGAGUACAUAGCUUUAUAUUCUAAGGGUAGAAGUGUCGUAGAUGCUCGAUGUUCCAUGGAUUGGGGAUGCUAGAGUCAUCAGCCCAUUGUAGUCAGUAGGUGCCUAGUUGGAUAACCUCUUUGACGAUGAAGGGGCCUUCCCAAGGGGUGGCCAAUUUGUGCAUGUCUUUGGUGGACUGAACUCGGCGAAGCACGAAGUCACCAACGUUAAAGGAGCAUUUCCUGACGUUGCGGUCGUGGUAACGCCAUAUCUGCUGCUCAUGGCAUGCAUGCUAGAGGAGGGCUACCACGCAAUGCUCUUCAAAGCUGUCAAUAUCAACCUGCCAAUUUCUUUCUGCCCC
rnacentral:lncRNA from 1 species